GCCCGGCUGGCACAAUCGGUAGCGCGUGAGACUCUUAAUAUUCGCAAGGAUAGGCGAUCUCAAGGUUAUGGGUUCGAACCCCAUGUUGGGCU